ensembl:lncRNA
AGAGAAAGGGAAAAAUGAAAGUGGAUGGUUCAAGCAGAGAUAAUUGAACUUUGUUUCCUCAUGCAGACAGACCAACAACUGGCCUGCGCUAAAUGGAUUGUAGGAGAUUUGAUACAAACUCUGGGGAGUUAAAACAUUGUUCCCUGACAUCUUUCCCACAGAGGUCUGCUUAAUGGCAACCUCCAUUCACAGAGUUCCGUCUGAGGGUAAAUCAGGGCAGUUUCUCACGCUGAAGCAUCUAUUAUUCUGGAUGUUUGGGUUUACGAAGAUGAGGGCUGCACGUGAAAUCACUUAUUAACUCCCGUUAGACCACAGAGGAGGAUUUGUGAAUAUCAGUGAAGCAAUGCAACUGACACUGGUAGGUCAUGAUCAACCUGGAUUUCAUUUCUACUAUACAGAACAUACUUUUUAAACGUUUGCGAAGUAAAAACUUAUUCAGA